GGGAAUGUGGCUUAAUGCUAGAGUGCUUGCCUUACAUGCAUGAAGCCCUGGGUUUGAUUCCUCAGUACCA
rfam:Dipodomys ordii contig_64254, whole genome shotgun sequence.